rnacentral:rRNA from 1 species
GACGAACGCUGGCGGCGUGCUUAACACAUGCAAGUCGAACGGUGAAGCGCCUUCCUUUUUGGUGGGUGUGGAUGAGUGGCGAACGGGUGAGUAACACGUGAGUAACCUGCCCCCUUCUUCUGGAUAACCGCAUGAAAGUGUGGCUAAUACGGGAUAUUCUGGGUCUGUCGCAUGAUGGGUCUGGGAAAGAUAUUGUUUCGGUGGGGGAUGGGCUCGCGGCCUAUCAGCUUGUUGGUGGGGUGAUGGCCUACCAAGGCGGUGACGGGUAGCCGGCCUGAGAGGGUGGACGGUCACACUGGGACUGAGACACGGCCCAGACUCCUACGGGAGGCAGCAGUGGGGAAUAUUGCACAAUGGGCGCAAGCCUGAUGCAGCGACGCCGCGUGAGGGAUGGAGGCCUUCGGGUUGUGAGCCUCUUUCGCCAGUGAAGCAGGCCUGCCUCGUUUGUGGGUGGGUUGACGGUAGCUGGAUAAGAAGCGCCGGCUAACUACGUG